AAUAAUUUAAAUGGAGUUCCCCGGAGAAUGAACUCCGGGAAGGUAGUGUAGAGAUUUGUAUGAGAAAAUAUGCUAAAGUAGUCAAAAUGAAUGAACACGUUCAAUUCAAUAAAAAAAGAAAUCUUUUUUUCCGAUUCAUUUUUUUUCUUACGUAUUCUGUUAUUAUCUCCUGCCCGUUUAACUACUCCUCGAGACAUUUCUGCUAAUGGGCCCUUGAAUUAUAGCAGGAAAGAAUCCACCUGAAUAAUUUAAAUGGAGUUCCCCGGAGAAUGAACUCCGGGAAGGUAGUGUAGAGAUUUGUAUGAGAAAAUAUGCUAAAGUAGUCAAAAUGAAUGAACACGUUCAAUUCAAUAAAAAAAGAAAUAUUUUUUUCCAAUUCAUUUUUUUUCUUACGACACGAUACUCAAAUCUAGAUUCUUGUAAUUAUGAUUCAAGUGAAGAAAAAGUAAGCCUAUUUAUUUCGGU
rnacentral:lncRNA from 1 species